rnacentral:lncRNA from 1 species
AAAAACCAGUACUUCUUUUCUCUUGGGUUUUAAAGUCUAUAGAGUGAAAAUCUGGAAAAAGGCAUGGUUAUCCUACAACUUCUAUGUCUAAAAAACAAGCUUUGAACAAGUUGUCCAAACAAAAUAUUGCCCCUGGAAAUCUGCACAGAUAUUCAACAAAAUAAUGCUAUAGAUUUGGUUACUUCCUUCCUAGUGGCUCUAUUUCAGUGGCUUAAAGAUGCUUACGAACCAUGAGAAAUAUCAUAGGUUUGUCAUCUUCCUUGUAGAGAAAAGCUCCCACUUGCUUUUCUUCAGAUACUGGAGUUCUGAUAUUAAAAUGAGAUAUAAUUCACAAUAAGUGAGUCAGAUUUUUUAGUCCCCUUGUCUGCUACAAAAGUAAUGUGGUUUUCUACAAUAUUAACAGUAUACAGUGUCUACAUAAGGAUAAUUCAUUCAACAACUUUCAGGAAAGGGACAUUUUCCUUUUUUUUUUUUUUUAAGAUAUAAUGCAAGGUUGAACACAGAUUUUUAAAGAUGCAUCAUUGCCUCUGUUACUCUUGCUUCAGCUUUUUCAGAAUUAUUUCAUGACUAAGAGGUACUUGCUUUAUGUCAUUAAAAUGCUGGAAAUCACAGCAGCAAGCUCGGAGGAAUGUUACCAGGACUCACUGCUUGUGCUUCUAAGACCUUUCUCUGCACACUUGAAUGAUAUAAAGCAGUGAAGAAUCUGACGCCUGAUAUUUUCUCUGUUCAAUACGAGGAAAACAUUCAAUGCUGUUCACAGAAAAUGGAAAGAGAAAGAUUCUGACAGACCCUGACAGUGCAACCAUUGCAAGGCACAUGAGGAGUCAUGCAGAAAAAAUGAUCAUGUACUUCAGGCAACUUCAAGGAGAAGCUCUUAAACACCCUUAGACACAGAUAUGUCUGGAGGUUAAUGAUUGAUAAAAGGCUGUCAUGAAUUAAUUACAAAUAUGGAAAUAAAUACAUUCUUUAUUUUAACUUCCCA